rnacentral:rRNA from 1 species
AUCAAUAAGCGGAGGAAAAGAAACCAACAGGGAUUGCCUCAGUAACGGCGAGUGAAGCGGCAACAGCUCAAAUUUGAAAUCUGGCCCUAGGCCCGAGUUGUAAUUUGCAGAGGAUGCUUUUGGUGCGGUGCCUUCCAAGUUCCCUAGAACGGGACGCCAGAGAGGGUGAGAGCCCCGUACAGUUGGACACCAAGCCUUUGUAAAGCUCCUUCGACGAGUCGAGUAGUUUGGGAAUGCUGCUCAAAAUGGGAGGUAUAUUUCUUCUAAAGCUAAAUACCGGCCAGAGACCGAUAGCGCACAAGUAGAGUGAUCGAAAGAUGAAAAGCACUUUGAAAAGAGGGUUAAACAGCACGUGAAAUUGUUAAAAGGGAAGCGCUUGUGACCAGACUUGCGUCCGGUGAAUCACCCAGCUCUCGCGGCUGGGGCACUUCGCCGGCUCAGGCCAGCAUCAGCUCGCUGUCGGGGACAAAAGCUUCAGGAACGUAGCUCUCUUCGGGGAGUGUUAUAGCCUGUUGCAUAAUACCCUUCGGCGGGCUGAGGUACGCGCUCCGCAAGGAUGCUGGCAUAAUGGUCAUCAGCGA